UUCUUUCUUUUGAUCUGGAUCCAGGGCCU
rnacentral:piRNA from 1 species